GGAAGAAUGUCACACUUUUCAGUAAAGGCUCAGCUUUCCCCAAACUGUAAACCAUGAUUUCACUGAAAGAUUAAAAGCGGGGAAUAGGGUUGUGAAUCCUGCCCACUGGGGACUCAGUUACUUCAGGGUGAAGAUAAAAAAAGCUGGGGAAUGGGGGAGCCAGAGGGAGAGGUGAGAAUGGGUAGGUGUGGUUGCAGAUCAGGGAUCAGGAAACGUUGUCAGCCUGAGGGCAACAUUUCUGUCCCUGCAACCUUUAGGGGUCACAUGGCAGUAGUGGGCAGAGACAGAAGCAAAAAAGCAAUGAAUAUAAAUUCUACCUUUGCACCAUAGGAGAAUCGCUACACCAACCCACCAAUCCCUCUGUCCUCCAUCCAGGUAAGCAAUGGAUAUGUAUUAUUAGAGCUAAAGGACACAUUCCAGCCAGGCAAAACCAUUCAAGGGGGUGGAGCAAGGCCAGCGACAUGACAUGAAAAAUGGCUUGGCAGGGAGGCCGUAUCAGGAGGUCAGGAGUGAGCUACACCUGGUGGACAGGAUAGUGGAGUGAGAAGAAGUGGUGUAAGAGGAAUGUGAGGGUUCCUGGGUGGUUCUGAGGGCACUGUAGAUGCAGGACAGGCAUGAUUUCUUAAUACAUUGGUACCUCAGGUUAAGUACUUAAUUCGUUCCGGAGGUCCGUUCUUAACCUGAAACUGUUCUUAACCUGAAGCACCACUUUAGCUAAUGGGGUCUCCUCCUGCCGCCGUGCCGUCAUGCCACAAUUUCUGUUCUCAUCCUGAAGCAAAGUUCUUAACCUGAAGCACUAUUUCUGGGGGUUAGCGGAGUCUGUAACCUGAAGCGUAUGUAACCUGAAGCGUAUGUAACCUGAGGUACCACUGUAAUGUUUUUCGAGUUACUGAAGAAACAUUUCCAAGAGCGUUAGGGAAGUAUGACUGGUGGCCUUUAAACAACUGCUACAUAUUCUCCCCAUUUAACAGCAGUCUUGACCCCAAGGGAUGACGUUGUUGUUGGUUGUUGUUGUUUUUUAAAAAUCCCAUCCUUCAGUUAAAAAGAAAAGUAGUACCACCCUUGCAGUGAGGUUAAGGGUUAGGGGUAAUUUGUGUGCCUGUUCGAUUAAAACAGGAUCAGAAGCACCCAGGAGAAGCUUUCUCCUCCUUGCCAACACCCUUCUUAUCUUACCUACCAUGAGCUUCCUUCCCUGUGGCUGGAGGCACUGAAGCCAGCUGCUACUUCCAGUUCUCCCCCCUGGAGUUGGCUGCUGUCUCAUUUACCCAAUGCAAAUCAAGUCUCUCUUUUCCUGUAAGCCAGCUCAAUCCUCUCACUGAUCCUUGCUGUGCUCUGGCAGGCAGGCAAGAAUCCCACAGCUACAGUUUUCCUUCUUUGUAGGUUGUCAAUAUUCAGAUUUCUGGGGUACUUCUCAAAGUUGUUGCUAGGAUCAACAAUAGAAGGAAGACAGUCCUUGAAACCGAAAAGUGUCACUUUAAUUAGGUACUUUCUGUUGUUGGUUUCAAGCUGCUUUUGCUAUUUAAAGUGUGAGACCAGUGAGUCCUCUUCUAACAAUUCAUUGUGGCAAUUCUGCUAGGCCACAAUGAUAGAAACAUGCAUUUCUUUUCAUCCUCUGCUUUAAUGAGUAGUUUGUGGUUGGUCAACACUCUGGAUCCAUUGUGCUGGGGAAAACUGACAUCUGGAAGGGACCCGAGAUCAGCCUUUGCCAACUUGGUGUCCUCCAUAUAUUUUGGACUACAACUCCUCUCAGCCAGUCUGGUUGGUGAAAAUUGUCCUAGAGAGCAUAAUUCCUAAUUAUCAUGGAUCAACAUGAUUCUAGAUUUGUGGGCAGGAAAGAUUCCUUGUGCUGUAAGAUAUCAAUGGCCUGCAAAAGCCAUACGUAGAACAUAUCACUACAUCAUAUAGACGUAAGCAUUUCUAAAGCAUUUCUAUUCUACCAAAGAGGCUUGUGUAGUCUCCAGAUUCAUUCGUUGACCCGAACCGUCAACUGGAUUGUCUAACUCCAAAAGGUUAGUGAGAGUGAGGCAGAACUUACCCUUGUAGAAGCCAUGCUGGCUUUGCUCCAGCAAGACUUGUUCUUCCAUAUGCUUUGUAUUUCUUUCUUUAACAAUGCUUUCCAACAGCUCUUCUGGUACAGUCCUUAAGCUAAAGGGACUGUAAUUUACAGGAUCUCCCUGAUCCCUUUUUUAAAACUUGAUGUUACAUAAGGCCACUUUCCAGUCCUUAGGCACAGAGGCUGCACUUAGGCUUGCUACAUAUUUUUGUUAGAAGACCAGCCAUUUCCCAUUUGAGUUCUUUAAGCACUCUCAAGUGGAAGCCAUCCAGACGUGGUAAUUUGUCAGUUUUUCAUUUGUUAGCCAGGCCAAUGGUAGCUAUAAGCUACGUGGGGAAUGGUAUCAGAAAAUGCUGACACAGCUCAGGCAUAGCCUAAUUUGUGCUUUCCUUCUUUACAUCCUCAGAAGAAUUAAGAGCUGUAGACUUUUAGCAUUCUGACCCCCGAAAAGCCUCCCUGAUGAGCCAGCAAGGAGUAGCCUUAGACAUUUUGCUACCAUAGGGGGAAGUCAAACACUUCGUGCUCCACAGGGCCACUAACAUUUCUGUGGCUGCAAAUCUUGAAACAUCUUUCUACAUAAUAUGUUUUUAAUAUACUGUAUACAGCACCUCUUUUUUAUUUUACAAAAAGUCAUAAGUACUUAAGAAGGUGCCUCCUAAACUAAACCAAAGGUUCAUCGAGAUCAGGGAUGAGGAACCUGCGGCCCUCAAGAUGUUGUUAGACCCAGCACUGCUCAGCUUCAGUCAGCACGGCCGAUGGGCAGAGAAUAUGUGAACCUAGGAAGCUGCUUUAUAAUGAGGCAUGGUCCAUCUCAUUUAGUAUUGUCUACACUGACUGGCAGCAGUUCUCCAGAGUUUCAGGCAGGGGUCUCUCCAAGCCCUAGCUGAAGAUACUGGGAACUGAACCUGAGAAUUUUAGCAUACCAGUCAUGCUACUGGGCCACAGCCCUUCCUUGAUCCUGCGAGUUGUAGUCAAAAACAUCUGGAGGACCAGACCACUGAUCCAGGCUGUCAUCCUGUUUACUAUUGUGACCAAUCAAAUGCUUCAAGUAUCCCAACAAAAAGGAAAUGAAGGCAACAGCCUUCCCCUGUAACUGGUACCCAGUGGUAUUUUAUCUCUGCACUGGCAGGUUCUUCUUAGUGAUCAUGGCUAAUAGCCUUUGAUAGAUAGAUCCUUUGUGGAUUUCUCUAAUUCCCUUUUAAAGCUGGUAACCAUCACCAGGCUCAUAGCAGUGAAUUAAUUCCAUACAUUAAUUACAUGUAUGAAUAAGUACGUUAUUUGUCUGUCCUAAACUUAUUGCCUGUUAAUGUCAUUGGUUGACCCCUAGUUUAUGUUGUGAAAAAGAGAAGAGGGGAAGGAAACGUUAUAUUCACUUUCUACACACCAUGUGUCAUUUUAUAAAACCCCAUGGCAUCCUUCCCCCUAGUACUCAUUUGGCUGAAUGAAAAUGCCCCAAACACUUCAGCCUAUGCCCUCAUUAAAAAGAAGGGCAGCCAGGACUGCAGCAGAACCUAUGAGGAGAGUGGCCAUGUGUCCUACUUGAAGAGCUGGUCAGAGGAGAGACCGCUGUUUGAAGGAGUCCUCGAUUUGAAGGGCGGUCCAGUCCAUGUCUGGUUUAACAUUAAAGAACUAUAAGUUGCCCACGGGCCAUUAGCACCUGGGCAGUGGACCGAGCAGGCACACAGCUCAGCAGGUUGUAAUCUUCUCCACAAUGGUGAGAUGUAUUGCAGUUCUAUUAAAACUGUAGUCAUUAUUUACCAGUUUGCAAGUAUGCAUACAAACUAGAAUAUGCAGAUUUUACUCAGUCCAUGACCUCUUUUGUCCUCUUUUUUUGAUUAUGCAUUUCCUAUUUUUGGUGAUGUGGCCAUCCCACCCUGGGCAGCAAGAAUGAGAGCAUUAAACAAGGGCAAAAGGCUGUGCUGUUUGCUGCCUCUGUAAGCAGAAAUCCUUGGUGUCAAGUGGGAGGCAGAGGGAGGAGAGACAUUUGCUUGUCUGGAAACUAUUAGUUAAAAAUCAUGGCAUUGAUCAGUUCAGGGAAUUCAAAAGUGGUGUGCAGAAACUGUCUACGACGUUUCCUUAUUAAAAUGCUGCUCCUUACCAAUUUCUUGUGUGCUUUAAUUGCAUUAUGGGUGAGGAAAGCCUGGGGCCUAAUUUAUGGAUCUCAACCUGGAGCAUCUGAAAUGCUGAUGAUGGUGAAUGCUGGAGGCAUUCAAAACACACGAGGGAACACAACAAACAUCCCUCCAGGGCAUUGUCUUUGGAUUGUUUAAUAAGAAUGUGUAUUUCUAAAUCCUACCUCCACAUCUGUGCUGAACUAGUUUCUAUGCAUUGGGUGCAGGGGUUUCCGGUUUCUGAAAUCAUUGUUCCCAUACACAGAUACUUCCAUGCUUAUUAAUAUCUAAUCUUAAGAUGAGAAGAAUUGGUAACCGGACAAGAGAUUCUACCUAAUCAUUCCCAGCCAAAUUGCUGAUGGGCUUCAAAACAGUGAACCAUGUAACCACCAAUUUUAACCAGUCAUGAUCCUGGGUUCAGAAAACACACCAAGCCACAUCUUGCCCUCAGCAACCCCCAGCACCUUGCCAACCACCUCACCCCCUAGAUCACACCUACUACCCACUCCCCCAACUUAUUCAUUAGACCUUCCCCUUUCCACCUCAUACCAGUGCUGCAGCCAAAGAGUUGACCUAGCAGGAGGAGCACCACAAGAAGUAGGCCAGAAAUGAUGGCCAGCUAAUCUGGGACUGCCACCACCUUAUCCAGGCCUACAUACAUUCCAUCCCAAAUGGUGGCAGUGGCAACAGAUUAGCAGGGUAGCUAUCAAUAGCUUCUGGCUGCCUUCUUCCUUCCUGUACUGCUCCUCCUAUUGGGCUGACAUAUCCUGAUUGGUGAUGGUUGGAGGAGUGGAUCUCCAAGCUGGCCAGAGGAGGAGGAGGGUGGCUAGCAGUAUCAGCCAACAUGGGGAUCUGGAUCCUGGGGGCAGGGUUCCCAGGGCUGGCAAGUAGAGGAGCCUCUGAUGCUUGCCUGGGCCACUCAUGCACCACCCCCUAACAUGGUGUAGUCCACCUGUAUGUGGCCAAACAAACUGCAGUGUGAUGACACUCUUACAUUUUUAUUACAUGUAGACAUGAUUUGCGUCAGCAUGACUUGCAAAUGCAGCCAUAGCUAUUGUCUAUUAGUAUGCAUUUCACAACACAGGAGCUCUGAUAAAUCACCUAAAAGAAUGGGGGAUGUGGGAGGAGAGGGCAAAGGGACUUAGCCCUGAUCUGUGUGUGAUAUGAUAAAGGUAUGUGUGAAGCAAAGUCAUCCAUUCCAGCCACUGAAUGUAAUAAUUUCAGCUUGCAUAAUCAGUUCAUACCUGGUUAAUUUUUUGUGCCAUCUCUAUUCUAGCAAUACUCCAUCCCCUCUUCCCCUCAAACAGAAAAUGGCACAUAAUGAGAUCAUAAUUGAUUUACUCUCUUGUCUCCUGGGGAAAAUUCUAAAAUCUGAAUUAUAUUUUCCUUUUCCUUUGCUAAAUCCUUAUAUGUAUGCCACAGCAAAGACUAUUAAUGGUGAGACUAAUAUUUUAAGCUUUUUCAUUAAAUGACUUAAAUUAUGGGCAUUUUAAUAGUAGAAUUAGAUGUUGUGAGAUACAGAAAGCUGUUGCUGCUCCAUAUCUCUCUUUCCCUCCCUCCCCGCAUUCCUGGCUAGGGCUCAUGCAAGUUUCACCUGUAGAAACGUCCACUUCUUCACAACCAUGAAGAUGUAUGGUGGGAUGGAUCGAUGAAGCCCCCUCCCAAAACUGGUGUUGCUACUGCUUACCUGGGCAGGACUGGGGUGGAUCAGCACUGGUAGAUAAAUGGGAGUGCUUAUUUCUUUAUGCACACAAUAUAUUUUUCUCCUGUAUUUUUAUGAGACCAUAUUCAAAGUGGGUAAUACAAUGACUAUAUUAUACUCUUCUUUACCCCAUGGGCUAGCAUAUAAAAAUUUCAUAAAUAAAAAUAAUUUUUUUAUUUAUAUCCCACCCUCCCCAGCCGAAGCCGGGCUCAGAGUGGCUAACAACAAUAAAAGUAACACAGUUUACAAAAAAAUCACAAUCAGUUAAUUGAAAUGCAUUCUAAAAUCAAUUCCUUCUAAGAUCAAUUCAAAAUCAGUGUCCAGCUUUAUCUCUAAAAGACGUAAAGUCCAAGCCUUCAAUUUGGGAUGGUUUGAAGAAAGUAGUGAGGACAAGCUUUAUAUAUAAUAAAUUCUGCCCAGUCUCAAGCUAUUCUUCCCCUUAUCCGAAAAUAAGGCUGUCAGUCACAAUACAUUGUUAUAUGCCCGUUCAGUUCCCUCUCUCAAUUCUGAGGCUGCAAAUACUCAACUAAAUGUAUAUAAACAGAAUAAUUUUUAAAUGCACCUGUGAAAAACACCAGCAAUAUAAGAACUCUCCUUUCCUACGCUUUUCAAAAAUGCAAGUCUUGUUCUUUAACAUAAGAGUGAGGGUCCCAGUCCAGCUGAUAAAAUAGAUAGUGAUGGCAACAUAUUGCCUCACCUGGGGCCCAGUCCCAGCUGGUGAAGAUGGAGAUGGUAUAGUUCAGCUCAUUUGCUUCUUCCAGAGAGAGAGAAAUGUCUAACCUUUCAUUGUAGGUAGCUUUUCCUAGGCUAGUGGUAGAGAGCCUGUGGCCUUCACUAUGAUAUUUGGGCUCCAACGUCCGUUAGUCCCAGCCAGCAUGGCCGAUAUCAGGGAUACUGCUGCAGGCUAUCAACACCUAGAAGGGACCACAGGUGUUUCACCCCUGCCUUAGCCUUUCAGCUACUUGGCAUUUUUUAGGCAAGGGAUUGUAACGUGUGCAGCCACAGACAUAGCCACAAUACUCCCUCCUCCACAAGCAGCAAAGCUUUAAAAAUAAAAUUUCUACCACCCAGAAAUACUGUAUAGUGCUAUACGUGGCUGGAAGUGUGUGAAGGCACUGCAUUCUACAGUGUUUUCUGUGUCUUUUAAAGUCUUUGGGCAGAUGUCAGAAGCCUCCUAGUGAUGCUGAGUUUUUGUUUGGUAGUCUGCAUGCAUUUUCAAGGCACCGAGAUGCUUUGCCAGGGUGCCACCUGGGUCAGUCUGUUGGCUGCCUGCUUUGUUUGCCUCCCAGAUGCUGUAGAAAGUACUGAGCCUUGGUUAGAAGCGCCGAGUUGGCAAUUUUUGAUAUUGCUGUUAACAUAAUCAGCUUUUGCUUCUGCAGCAAUUAGCAUAUUAUUACCCAUAAUGUUUUGCAUGGCAAUUUUGUUGUAAACAUUUGUACUAAUUCACCAUAACCUAAUUAUUUUUAUGAUGCAUAAUUAUGGAAUAUUUUCCAAGAAGGAAUGGUUCUGUUUUCUAGCGCGUAAUUCUUUUGGAGGAAAAUCGGGUCAUUCUAGCGCUGUCCCCAACUCCACAUCUUUCCUUCCAAAUCUGUUUCAUUUGGUUAUGAGCACACUUUGCAAAGUUUCCCUGAAUCUCCUGAGCAGCUGAAGAAUGGAUCCUUUUUGUAUGGAGAGCGGACUGAACCAAUGUGGUCCAAUCAAUCAGGUGUUAGAUUCAUAGUACCUCAAGAUCUGGGAUCAAAUCCCUGCUAGGUCAGCCUUGCAUUUUGCUGUUCAGUUACUUGCCUGGGAUGCUAACACUUUCUGGGAAUAUAGUUUGCCAGAGUGAUUGAUAAACCUCAGCAGGGAUGGGGGUUACCUGUGGCCCUCCAGAGGUUGUUGGCCUACAACUGCUCUUAUAUAAAAACAUAGGAUACUUCCUGAUACAGAGUCAUACCAGUGCUCUAUCUAGCUCAGUACUGCAUGUGCUGACUGACAAUCACUCUCCAGGGUUUCAGGCAGUGGUCAUUCCAAGCACUGCUUUGAGACUGAAUCUCACUAAUCUAUGGUCCUUUGACCUGAGCUACAACCCUUCUCCACUGGACACGCUGGCAGGGGCUGGUGUGAGUAGGAAUCCAACAACAUCUGGAGAGCCAAAUGUCCCUCAUCCCUGACCUGCAGGGAGACAGGUGGGCAAAAAUUGUGUGGAUACCUUUAUCUGCAAGGUCAUACUAAGCUCACUGGUGCUCUUGAACAAGUCACUACUCCCAGAAUCAAAUCUCAAUACUAGGAAUGAGGAAACCUACCUCGCAAAGCUAUUGUGCAGGCAAUGUGGGGCAAACAUCCUAAACAAACAAGCAACUGAGGGGUGCCACCUUUUAGGGCUACAUUCAUGGCUAUGUCUUCUUACUUCCUCUGCCAUUAUGUAUGUCUAUGCCCCAAAGGACUUCAUGAAUGAAAGAUGCAAUCAUACAUUUAAUUCCAUGUCUAGUUUGCCAUGUAUGCAAAUGUUACACAAGGGUACCACUUAAAGUUGCAGUUCCUAAAGUCACAGCUGAUGUCAGUAGCAGUUCUGCCUGUCUUGAUAAAGAGCAGUUCAUCCCCGAAAACACUCUUCUCUCAGAACAGAUCCAGGAGCAGAGCUCAUGAUAAUACUGAGGUCAGGACAGUUCCUCCCUCUGACAGCUGAAGUGAUGGCUGUGGCGAUCACACAGGGCCCCCGGACGUUUCAUGGUCUAUUGACCCUGUGCCACCACUGCGGUUGCUUUCUUUGCUGCCACCACCCCGCUUCUCACGGGGACACACGGAGUCCAGACAGUUGUUAACAUAAAAAAAUAAUCAAGUUUAUUUUUAAAUGCAGGAAUAAGCGUAUGGUUUCGGUUUAUUUUUCUCUUGUCAGACUCCUAAUCUUAGUUCCUAACAACUUCAAACUGAAUUAUUCCCAACUGUCUAUCUGACUCAACCUAUCAAUUCCUCUCACUCUCUCACAAUACAACUCUACCAACCCACUGCCUAUUCCACCCUCUUCCUUCUCCAACACCCAAGCCUCAACUCCCAACUCCCAAACCUCAACUAACUUUUUAAAACCUCCCACUCUAUCUUUUACUCCCCCCUUGCAUUCUCACUGGCCAAUCACAUCACACACAUUUUAACCCUUUCCUUGACCAAUCCUAGGAGGCAAACGCCACAAUGGCCCUUUAAAAGGAAUCCAUAGCAGAGCAAUAAAUAAAAUGCAGAUUGAAACUGCAAUGUUUUCAAUGUUGUUGUUGUUUUAAAUAAGGACAGGGCCACAUGGAUUUCCUUAUGGAGUGCAUUUCAUAAAUCCAGAACUACCAAGACCUGUCAGUCUGACAUUUUUCAGUGAUGGGUCAGAAAGCCAGGUAUAAGAUAAUGAUCUUAAUGCAUGAACAGAUUUUACAGGUGCAGUCAUUCAGAGAUGAGGCAGGUGAGGCCGCUGCUUCAAGCAGCAGAAGACCCCUAGAGGUGGCACACCUGUGGGUGACCUGCCUGCACCACCACCUCCAUCAGCACCAGAGAAGCACUGCCACCAUCGAUGCUGAUAUCGGGCAAGAUCUCAGCCAUUUUGUGCAAGAUCUUGCCCAAAAUCAAUGCCAAUGGCAGUGCCACUUCUCCACCAGUAGCGGAUGGGACAGGGUGUGUGGCAAUGGCAGAGCAGGCAUUGGUGGCAGGAGCAGGUAGGUGGUGGCAAGACCAGUGACAGCAGUAGAGCAAAACAGCACUUCCUGUUUCACUUUAAGCGAUGAAACAGUGCACAGCACCCCUGCAGGCAGUCCUACAGAUAGCCAAGUUUCAAAACCUUUAUGACUUGAAAUGUGAAAAACAGUACUUUAAAUUCAGUCUGGGAACAAGUAGACCAUUAGUUUAACCGGUGGUUAAACCCAUUGUUGUAAUAUGUUCGGCUUGCUUGGCUUCCAACAGAAAAUCUUCAUGGCAUUCAGGAUGCACCCAUAUAUGCCGUUCUCCACCUAUACCUGCUUCCUGUUUGUGGACAUGACCCUUUCUCCUAAAGAGGGAAAUGGCCGGAGUCUCAUGGGCACUAAAAGUGCCCAGUCACACCCUCCGGUGAUUCAGAGGAAGGAAAAGAAAUGAAUUGUAGUAACCUUUACAACAAUAAAACCCCACAGUGUUUCUGGCCAGGUGUGCAAAGAGGAAAUCCCUCUCUAGGUGAUCAACUUACACACUGAAGCAUGAAGUUUGAUUAGCCCUGUAACGUUUUAUAAGCUUGCAUAGCUGCAAAUGUUAUUAAUGCUCAUAAAGUUUACCCAAGCCUUUAAAAUCCUAUUGGGCCAAUUCAGGUCUCGUUGGAUUCCUGGGGCAAUGCAUUCCAGGGGUGAUACAAUGCCACGGAAAGUCAUUAUUCCUGUUUAAUUUGUCUAAGGCGGAUGCUGCUCAUUUUCAGAGAGUUUCCUUUGUUUUUGUGUUUCCAUUGUCUAUGGAUAUGGAAGGGAGUGUAAAACAAAAUGACAGGCACCGUUUUUGCUGUAGCUUGGAUCACAAAAAGUGUAAGUCAAGAGCCCCUGUUCUUCCAGAGGUUCUAGAUCUCUCCCCUCAGCUUGUGAGAGCCACUUCACAUGUUUUGAGGCAGGGAAAUAGAUUUUUUUUUUCCUCCUGUAAGGGUACAUGCUACAGGGAAACACCAGCAAUUGUGAUCCCUCUACAUAGGGUAGUCUCAAUAUAUUUUGCUGCCUGAAGUGAAGAAUAAGAGGUUGCCUCCAGCUCCAUGUCAUGUUAAGAAGCCAACCACCACUGAAAGAAACAGACGAGUGUACUGGUGCAAAGCUACAUGGCACAGGAUUAUAGAAUUAAAGAGUUGGAAGGGACCACAGGGUUCAUCUAGUCCAACCCCCUUCCUUGCAGGAAUCUUUUUUUACCCAACGUGGGUAUCCUGAGAUUAAGAGUCUCUUGAUCUACCAACUGAUCAGCUCUGCCCUCCAGCAGCUCACUGCCGCUCCCCAUCUCCCACCAUCUGCUGCCUGAGGCAACUCUCUCACUCUGCCUAAUGCUAGGCCUGGCCUGCCACUCUGCUACAGCAUCCACAUGCAUCAAAUGUACAUCAGUGUCAUAUGGUUCACUGAGGAAAUGGAAGGUUUUAUUACAUAGUCCUUCAAGGCAGGAGCACAGGUUGGCUUACAACAUAAAAUAUGCAAUAUAGAACUUAAUAUAAAUAUAUACACCGAUUCAUAUCAGUUAUAUGUUUAGGGAGGUCUUCUGAAAAUACAGAUUUUUGUGCCCAGAUUUUUCCUGACCUCUAAGAUUAGACCUUUAAAAUUUGUAUCUUUCUAGCAUGUUCCCAUUUUGUGUUCUCAUUUUGUACUUUUCUGUUGUGAACCACCCUCUGAUCUUUGGAUGAAGGACAGUAUACAAAUUUAAUUAAUAAAUAGCUCUGCCACAGUAUUUUACUGUUUUUGUUUAUAUUGUUUGCUUAAUGACUUUAUACCUUGUUCCAUGUUUUUACUGCAUGCUGUACACCUCUUAGAUAUCUUUUCAUGUUGAACAUUCUAGAAAUAUUCUAAAUAAACCAAUAAACAAAACAGCCACAAAGCUGCGUUAAACACAAAUCAGCAACAGCAUGUUGUGGUGAAUAUUUGGAAGGGACAGCAAAAACAAUGGGAAUGAGAUGGAUGCUUGUUUGCCACUGCGAUAGUGAUCUCCAAUUCAAAUUCUGAGUUGUCAUCUAAGAUGGCAGUCACCCCAAUAGCCAAAGGAAACAACUAGGGGAGCUUUAGAAUCAAAUUGGCAUUGAAAUGUUGGUUCCUGCGUCAUCUUGGGCCUGCUCAGCAGCUGGUUGCCUUGACUCGUUUUUGUUUUUGUUUUUACAGUUGCAGCAUGGAUACAAAUCUAAACCUUUGCUGAUAUGCCGUAAGCUCUCGAGAGACACCUUCUUUUCCUGGUGAUAAGACUCGAGCCUGACGGCGUGGAAGCUGAAUUGGGAAAGUGGGGCUCUGUUGCAUCGAUUCCAUGUAUCCUUGGAAUCCUUGUAUUAGCAUGAAUUAAUAGCCCCUUGUGCACAACGAAGAGGAAGAAAGCAUGCCAGAGUUAAUAACGAAGCCAGCCAUCGAGUUAACAGCAGGCAGAGAGGUGACUGAAGCUGUCUCCAGCAGCUGCCUCACAGCCUUUCCUGCUGCUGCAGCCUUGUAAAAUGAGAAUUUCACAUGGCACAGCUUUGUGCUCUGAGCUGUGAAGGCUCCUGAUUCCAGAGCCUGCUAUGUGGUCCUGUGGGGGUGCUCCAGUUUAUGAAAAUAGCCACCUGCCGUGCCCUAGAUUACUAAACCUAAUGCUGAGUGCUGGAGUCUAUAUUUCACUUAGCAUCCCCUCUCAUCUUGGCUAAGCUGCCAAACUCUUGCAAUGUCCCACAUGGCAUCUCAUAUGCCUGUAAGAGCCAGAGAGCUGGAUUCAUGAAAGGGAGGCAGCUUUACCUUCUGAAUGACAAUGCCGGUGAGAUGGUCCAAUUUUCUCUCUGUUUGUUUUGGAAUAGCUGCAAACAGUUCAAGUGACAAGUGGAGAAUGGGAACAGGAGGGAGCACAAUGUUAUCAUUGAGUGUGCAGUUGAUAAAACCUCCAGUCCCAUAACCCUUACUUACAACCAAAGGCCAUACAUUCUGAAAGCUCUGUAUCUGCAAUCAUGUACCAUGUGCUGAUUUGUUUCUGAGGGGCAUGUUUGGGUUUGUUGGAUCAGGCCGAAGGCCCAUCUAGUCCAGGAAGGAUCCUGUUUUCACAGUGACUAAUCCAAUGUCUUUGGGAAUCUGUAUGUAGGACCUGUGCACAGCUUCACACUCCCCACUUGUCACUCCUGGCAAAUAGUAUUCAUCAGAGGUAUACUUGCCUCCAACAAUGGAAGGAGAAUAUAGCUACCAUAGCUUGUAGCCAUUGAUAGCCUUAAUCGCCAUGACUCUGUCUCUUAUAAAGUCAUCUAACAUGGUAGCCAUCAUUAUUUCGUUUAUAUGUUGUGUGAUGUACUUUCUUUUGUCUGUCUUUAGUAUUCCAACAUUCAGCUUAAUUGGGUGGUUCUAAGUUCUACUGUUAAGACAGAGGGAGGAAAAAACCCCCAUAUCUACAAAAUAUUCCUGCACUGCAGAGGGGUGGACUAGAUGACUCCCAGGGUCCCUGCCAUUCUACAAUUCAGUGAUUCUAUCUUCUCUACACCAUACAUCACCUUGUACAUCUCUAUCAUGGCCCACUUACUUGCUUCUCACUGUCUGCACUAACAACAGAAGUGGUUUUAAGGUGGUGUGGCUGAUGCGGCUGCACUGGGUGCCACGCUGAAGGGAGCCACAACAAUGCUACAAAACGGGGCACAAGAGGCCCACAGCCCCCCACUGCUCACAAGCCCCAAAGGUUGCAGCCAUUCCUAAUACAGGAGUUGCUCCAACCCUUUGAUCAUUUGGGUUGUUCCGUUUUGAACCUUUUCCCAAUGAGUUGAAGUAGCCAGAAUUAUGCAGAGUAUUCCAAGUGAGUCUCACCAUAAAUUUGUGUAAGGGUAUGAUAUUGUCGAUUUUUAUUUCCAUUUUCCCAACAAUCACUUCCUAAGGAUCCUUAGCAUGGCAUUCACCUUUUUCCACAGCUGCUACAUUAUUCCUGGUCAGUCACUGCCAGUUCAGACCUCGGUAGUGUAUAUGCGAAACUACGAUGAUUUGCUCUGACAUGCUUCUCUUUCCUUCUUUUCUACACUUACAUCUUGCCCUUCCUCCCAAAGGAGCUCAGGGUAGCCAACAACACGUGAUAAAAC